ensembl:snRNA U4 U4 spliceosomal RNA
AGCUUUGCACAGUGGCAGUAUCGUAGCCAGUGAGGUUUAUCUGAGAUGCAGUUAUUGCUAAUUGAAAAGUUUUCCCAAGUGCUCAGAGACAGGAACAGACAAUAAUAUAGAAGCAAUUUGCAAUUAACACAGUGA